UUUUUUUUUUCUUUUUAGGGCCUCACCCGUAGCAUAUGGAGGUUGCUGGGCUAGGGGUCGAAUUGGAGCUGUAGCUGCAGCUUGUGGCAACGCCGGAUCCUUAACCCACUGAGCGAGACCAGGAAUCAAACUCGAAUUCUCAUGGAUACUAGUCCGGUUCCUGACCCACUGAGCCACAUGGGUUAAGAAUCUGACUGCAGUAGCUUGGGUUGCUAUGGAGGCGAGGGUUGGAUCCCCAGCCCAGGGCAGUGGGGUAAAGGAUCCAGGGUUGCCACAGCUACAGUGUAGGUCACAGCUGCAGCUUGGAUUAAAUCUCUGGCCCAGGAACUGCCAUAUGCGGUGGGUGCAGCCAUAAAAAAAGAGGAAGAGAAGAAAAGAAGUCUGAGACCCUCAUCGGCUAGGCCUUCACUUUCCUUUGCUAAGGCUGGUUCUGGGCCAGUGACCCAGAUCAGCAGCAGGGCUCUCCUAGUGUCUCUUCAGCUGACCCACGGUGAGAAAAAGAGGGGUAAGAGGAUUAUUCAACAUGGUAGCUUUGAAGCACAUACGGUAAUAGCUACAGGGAACUAUACUCGAUAUUUUGUAAUAACCUAUAAGGGAAAAAGAAUCUGAAAAAGAAUAUAUCUAUAUAAAACUUAAUUGCUGAGCUGUACACCUGAAACUAAUGUAAUAACACUGUAAAUAAACUCUACUUCAAUUCAAAAAAAUAGAGGGAGUUCUCUUGUGGCACAGUGGGUUAAGGAUCUGGCAUUGCCACUGCAGUGGCUUGGGUCACUACUGUGCUGUGAGUUCGAUCCCUGGCCUGGGAACUUCCACAUGCCAUAGGCGUGGCCAAAAAAAAAAAAAAACCCAUGUUACCUUCGCCCAGGAGAUGGAUGCAGAAGACACAUUAAAUAACUUUUCAAGGUCCAACCUAAAGCUCAGGAAAGAGCAAACGGGGAAGUCCCUGUCUUGGCACAGCGGUAAUGAACCCGACUAGUUCCCACGAGGACUCUAGCCUUGAUCCCAGUUCGAUCCCUGGCCUCGCUCAGUGGGUUAAGGAUCCAGGGUUAUUGUGAGCUGUAGUGUAGGUCACAGACAUGGCUCAGAUCUCGCAUUGCUUCGGCUGUGGCAUAGGCCUGCAGCUUCAGCUCCACUUUGACCCCUAGUCUGAGAACUUCUGUAUGCUGUGGGUGCAACCCUAAAAAGACAAAAAUAUAAAAAAAAAGAUAGUAAAUAAAUAAAUAAAUACUUAGUUUUUCAAAGCCCAACUUAAAGCUCAGGAAAGAGCAAACAGGGGAGUUCCUGUAUUGGCUCAGCAUAAUGAACUCAACUAGUAUCCAUGGGGACACGGGUUCGAUCCCUGGUCUCGAUCAGUGGGUCGAGGAUCUGGUGUUGCUGUGAGCUGCAGUGUAGGCUGAAGACAUGGCUCAGAUCCCACAUUGCUGUGGCUGUGGUACAGGCUGGCAGCUGUAGCUCCAAUUCUACCCCUAGCCUGGGAACUUCCAUAUACUGUGGGUGCGGCCCUAACAAGAAAAAAGAAAAAAAAAAAAAAAAAGCAAACUGCAUCCUCAAGCCUAGUAGAGUACAAAGCACAAGGAGAGUUCUAGUGUCCAAAGGGCCUGGGUUUGAGUCCUGCAUCAACCUCGUGUUAUCUUGGGCAGGCUUGGUCACUUUUUGAGCCUCAGUCUCCUCAUCUAUUCACUGGAAGUAACAUUAAUAUCUAUCCCCUAGGGUCCCUGCAAGAUGAAGUAAGAAAAUGCAUCUGAAGGGAGAAGCCCGGUGCCUGGCACCUCACUGCGUCUUAUCAUCCUGUCCCUCAGGGAGGAGGAGGAAUGCCUGCUCCUGGGUGACCUCCUUCUACUGAUGCGACACCUGGUAGGGAAAAGCAGUGGCUCUGGGGCCAGAAACACUCCAUAAACAUUAACUGCUGGUACUGUUAUUAUUACUAUUAAUCAUCUGGCAAUGAAUGGAGCCCUGCCUGGUAAAUUGCUUCCUCCAGGUAAUUUACACUUCCUAUUGUCACCGUAGUCUUCACUCAGUACAAUCUGAUACAGGGAUGCUUUCUAGAAAGCAGGAGCCACGCUGGGCUUCUCAGUGCCCCUGCAGUGCCCGUCCCCGGCCCUGGCAGGGAGCACCCAAGCAGCUCAGCAUGGAAGGGACUCGGAAAUCACCUGCUCUUAGUAUGCAAGGCAGAGAGCUCUCCUCCCAGCUUAUCAAGCACUUGGAUGCCUCCAGGGAUGAGAUCCUCAUUCCUUGCUGAAGGUGGACCAGUGCCCAGGGCUCUGGGGAGGCUGAGCUCCAAGGGGUGAGCAGGAGCUGAAGGGGCAGCUGCAGGAGUUGGGGCUACGGGAACUCCCGGGGCCACCCCUCACACCCUACAGCCCCCCUUCCUCUCCCACUGAGAGUUGAUAAUAGAAGUGGUUCUAAUUAUGCUCUAAUUGCUUUCUUCCAGGCAGUUUCUUGGGAGCCAGGAAGUUCAGAGUUCAUGAAUAAAUGAAGAGGGAGGAGGUGAGAAGGGAUGUUUAUUGACUCACAAAUCUCUGUGUCCCAGGGUCGGCCCCACAAAGGCUUGGGCACGUGGCUGCGUGCAAUUCUGCCUGCAUACAUACAAACACACAAAUAUACAUACCGCAGCCCCCAGACUCUCUCCAAAGGACUGGUUGGGGGUAAGAGGAAGGUAACAGGAAGUGUCCUUAACUGGCUUUGGGCCUCCGUCCAACUCUACCCCAGUGAACAGCACCAUGGCCUUGGGCCAGUCUUUGUUUUCCUGGCCGUGGAACGUGAGGGUGAAGCAAAGGUCUGAGAGCCUCUUCUGAGAAAACCCAGCC
rnacentral:lncRNA from 1 species